rnacentral:snoRNA from 1 species
UUGGCGGAUAGGAACCAGUUCUUGUUUGUGCUUGAAUUGGGCCGAAAACCGCCGAAAUCAAUUUGUACGCACUUUUGGUCGUAUGUGUUAGUGUUUAAAACAUGUAUAUCACCAUUGCGCACGACAGCU